AUUCCCUCUUCUCUCUUCUCUCUUCUCAAACCCUAAAAAUAUGAAGAAAAAAAUGUCACACACUCCCAUCCCGCCGUCGCACAGCCAUUUUCGGUUUGGUUAAUUUUUGUGUGUGUGUUUGUGAUUGCACAUUUCAGAGGACGCUUCAUCUAAUCCAUUUUUGUAAUCCUCAUCUCAAAUCCAUUUUCGUAAACUAUUUUUGUUAGAUUGAAACGCAAAGACGCUUGAUCGGGAAGAAAACUGUGGAAAAAAGCUGCUGAGGGUCCUAACAUUGAUGUAUCGUGAAAAGUUGAUGGAGAUGGGCACUUCAGUUUGAACGGGUGGAAAUGGUACUGUCAGAAGAAAGAAGAAGGUUGUCCACAACACAACAACUACUGAUGACAAAAGGCUUCGGAGCACCCUGAAGAGAAUUUGGGUGAAUGCCAUCCCUUAAAUUGAGGAGGUUAAUAUCUGUAAGGAUGAUAUUGUCAUCCAAUUU